GAUGAACGCUGGCGGCGUGCCUAAUACAUGCAAGUCGAGCGCACGGACUCGAAUCUUGCUUUUCUGAUGUUAGCUGCGGCCUGGUGAGUAACACUUGGAUAACCUACCUCUAAGACUGGGAUUGCUUCGUGAACCCGGAGCUAAUACCGGAUAAUAUUUUUAACCUCAUGAUUCAAAAGUGUAUGACUGUCUUGCUGUCACUUUUAGAUGUAUCCGCGCUGCAUUAGCGAGUUGGUAAUGUAACGGCUUACCAAGGCAACGAUGCAUAGCCGACAUGAGAGGGUGAACGGCCACACUGGAACGGAGAAACGGUCCAGACGCUUACGGGAGGCAGCAGUAGGGAAUCUUCCGCAAAGGGCGAAAGCAUGACGGAGAAACGCCGCGUGAGUGAUGAAGGUAUUCGGAUCGUAAAACUCUGUUAUUAGGGAAGAACAUAUGUGUAAGUAACUGUGCACAUCUUGACGGUACCUAAUCAGAAAGCCACGGCUAACUACGUG
rnacentral:rRNA from 1 species